UUCAACAAAUCAGUUCAUAUCAUACCUUCAGGCUGCUAUACUGGUUGAAGUAUUUGCUUUUAUAUCUAUGUAAAAUAUGUAAUUCCUUCUCACACACAUUUACAGCAUUUUGGGGAAGUUUUCUGCUCAAAUGUCAUAUUACAAUAUAGCCAAAUAACUGUUUCUGCACUUACUUGAUUAAAGCAAAGCACGAGAAAAAUAGAAUAGGUAUCAAAAGAUUGCCUAAAAACUGUGGUGACAAAUGCAAUUAUUGUUAAAAUGUACAAAUCCUGUGGGGUUCGUCAAAAUAGUUUGAAACAUUAAUAACUGUCUGCAAGAAAGAAGAAUAACGUUCUUCUUUUACCUUGACCUCGUGCUAUUUUGGCAAGAUAAAAUAUAUUAACCAUCCCAUCAGCUGGCUAGUGAGCAAAACUAACUAUGAUGAGGAAAAACGAAUUAAAGGAGCAUUAAUAAAGAUUAUCAGUGAAAGAAAAUAAGGUCAAAAUUAGAACUCUGCAUUUUAAAGCCACCUUUCAAAAAUGCAAGCUGCUUUGCCCAACGAUAAAAUCCAUUCAUUUUCCUAAUCAUGCAAUCAACCAAUCUCCAUUAUCUUCAGCUAGCUAGCUAUAAACAUGCUAUAGACUGGAGUGAAAGAGGGAGAGUGUGAGGUUGAGAGACAGAGAGAGAGAGAGAGAGAGAGAGAGAAAGAAAGAAAGAGAGAUUACUACACCCAGCCUUUUAUAAAGCCGUUUCUUUCAUUAUAACAGGUCUUUUCAUCAAAAUGACACAGAACCUUUAAAUUUGGGCAUAAUACUCCAGUACAGUACGCAGCUCUAGCUAAAAACUGAUUUAGAACCUGCUCCAGAAAGCAAACAAACUCACUCGUUUGACACACAAAUUGUUUACGAUUCAUUAAAAAGCAAAAUUGCAUAUCACAGUGCUGGCAGCUGAGUCCAUAUGGGUGCAAGGGGUAUUCACUCAUCUCUUUGUAUGCUGGCAGUACCAAACCGAAGUUUAGCACUAUGCAGCUGAGAUUUUGUGCAGCCAGACGAUGCAUGAGCUCCAUCAAAGGUAACAUCACCCCCUGGGGCAGGUGUGCAGGAUGUACCCAGAAAAUAUUCUUAUCAGAUGCUGUGUCCUCGGGAAGGGGGACUGAGGACUAAUAAAUCAGGUGUUUCCUCCUUCAGUGUAAGUCACCUGCUGUGAUCAAUAAGAAGCAGAAGAAAGAAGUGUUCUUGUUUGCAUGAGGUAAUACAGACAAACAGCCACGUGUAUGAGUUUUCUCCUUUGUCCUUCUCUCUCAGCAAAGAAUGACGGGGGAUGAAAAACAAAGAAAAACACCAGCACCACCACCCUCAAAAUCCUCAAAACUUCUGCCCCUCUCCCAGAAACAGGAACACGAGGAAAAAGAUCUCCCCUCCCAGCCCCCAGCCAACACAAGCGCUCCAAGAGUUAACUGGAUGGCAUCACAGCCAGCAACUACUCCCCAGCAGUACCCGGCGACACUCCUGUGACAGUAAGCAUUUGGGUCACCAGAUGCCACCGUGGCAGUGAGAAAAGCUUUGCCUGCAUCUUCCCCAGCCUUCCCCGUAAACUCCUCCAGAUUUCCCUCUCCUGCCCUUUUCCUGUCCCAACCCAACCUCUGAUCUGCAUGACGCCAACCACCAGAGGGUCACAGCCCGGUAUGCACAGCCCAGCUACCAACUCCAGCACAGGGAAAU